CUUUUUAGGGCCGCAUCGGUGGCAUAUGAAGUUCCCUGGUUAGGGGUCAAAUUGCAGCUGCAGCUGCCGCUGCCAGCCUGCGCCACAGCCACAGCAACAUUGGAUCCCAGCCACGUCUACAACCUACACCUGCAGCUCACCACAACUCUGGAUCCUUAACCUACAGAGCAGGGGCAGGGACUGAAGCCACGUCCUCAUGGAUACUAGUGGGGUUUGGCACUGUUAAGCCACAAUGGUAACUCCAAUGCUAGUGCAAUUCUAAAGACUGUAUGUUGAAGCUUUUGGGGGGUUCAGCCCCAAGAUCUUAAAAACUGCCAAGAAAUGCAAUCGCAAUAACAAUUCUCAUUUAUUAGGUGCCUACUGUGUACUUGAAUUUGGUGCUUUAUAUUCAGUAUUUCAUUUAAUUCUCUGAGGCAGAGAAGCCUUUAUCAUGGCUUUCAGAUGGAGAAAAUAAGGCACAGAAAUGUUAAGUGUCUUAUCACAUAAUCCAUUUGGGACUUUUCAGCCUGAACCUGCGCUGUCUCUAUAGCUUAUUCUUUUCUGUGAUGCCAGUCUCUCUAAAUACCCCAAUUCCAACCACUUCCUGUGAAUGUUCUUGCCUUGAGAGCCGUCAGUCAACUCAUCAUGAGGACCAGCCUUUGUGCCCCUAAAAUCACCCCAUGUGCCCUCUUAGGCAUUUAUGCUUGGGGCUGGGUUCUAUGGGCCUGGGUACUGUGUGAUCUUCCUAAUAGCUGGAAGUGAUCUGAACAGUGACCUCUCUGUUUUGUAUGGCCACGCCCCCCUGAAUCCUCAUUGGGUCCCUAUGUCCACCUAUCCCCAAAUGCUGUAAGGAUGUGUAAUCAACUCUAGCAGCUAGAGAGGAAGGUGGCCUGGAGGCUGGGGGUCCACUGGGAGCCCACUGCCGCAGUCCAUGCUGGAGAUGGACUAUGGAGAGGAAGGGGAUUGAAGAGGUUAAGGACUCACCAGGAUGUGGUGGGACAAAUGACCAAGUUGAAGGAAGAGAACAGAGUCCCUGGAGACAAAGCUAUCUUACUCAGCAUCAAGUCACUUAUUUUGGCCUUCAGCCACUCUUCAGAAGGGAUGAAUAAGUAUAAGUCUGUUUGCUAUAACAUUCAAGGCCUUUUAUGGUGUUGGCCAUGCCUUCCUCUGCGACCUAUCUCUUGCUAAUUCUAUACACAACCAUAUGCACGCAGAGCCUCUGCUUCUGGGUGUUCCCAGUUCCUUCUCUCUGGAGUAUGUGUUUCAGCCAUGUAAAUCUGAUCCUUCUAAGUGAGUCCCUGUGAAACUGUCCUGAUUCUACCCCAGAAGGAGUUGGGAAGCACUUCCCCAAGGCUCUUAUCUGUGUCCCUCAGACUGCCUGAUGCCCCUCCCACAUGCCCAGCCCCAAACCUCAGGCUGGACUCAGGCCAGGAACCCCAUAAGGAACAUGGGCUUGAUGGGCAGAUCCGAGAAACACCAGUGAAUAAGAGAAUCACCCUUCUGCUUCUUCUGGGCCAGGCAGAGGCUGGCUCCAGGAGGGACAGAGAACAUUCAGCAGAAGAGGGGAGGAUACAGAACUGGAAAAUCUCAGGUUGACAUCAGGGUCACAGAGCGAGGUCCCGUGGCCAGUGACAACUUCUUGAGCAAUCAUGAAGGCCUGUGAGUAAUGCAGCCUGGACCACUUCCUCCAAGCCAGAGGCAGGAAAAAUGCCCUGAAGACUUAAGUUUGGGUCCACUCAAGCUUGUUUUGGUUAAGAAACCGCUCCCGGGUGCUUUUCCUGUGCAGCUGUUUCCCUGGAUAAUAUUUAGUCACCAAGCUUACCCACCCGCUUUUCUGGGGAUCAGAGUUGGAACUGGACAAAAACCACAGAGGCUCUGAGCCUAAACCCAGAAGUAAAGCUGGGAAAAGGGCAGGAGCUAAUUCAGAUUCUGCACCAGAGAACGGCGUGGGGAGCAAGAUAGCUCUUUCCUUCUCUCUGCCCUUGGACCACAUUUCCAGUAUGUCUUCCAAUGAGGGGAUCCAUGAGUUCCAGCUAGAAAGGGCAAUAGCAUCAUCUUCCCUGAAGUUUACAAACUCUGUACCAAAGGGCCCUGGGAGCCCCCCCCCCAGCCCCCCUCUGAGGCCACUGGGAGGGAGGGUGGGGUGAGGACAAGGGUAGGGCGAGGGGAUCUGCUGAACAUGGUGGCCUCCUGAGUAAGCUUUUACUCGAAGGAAUUGCCCCACUCCUCUUACAAGCAGGAAUCAGAGGCCAAUGAGGGGAAAUACAGGCUGCAAUUAGAAGUUGAGACAGAGAGGUAGCCCCCUUUCCCAUAGCCCAGUGCCUGCUCUUACAGUGCUGUGCCUUCCAGCAGAGGCUCUAGGUCUCCCUUUACUGGUUCCCUGCCCUGCAUCUUUUCUGCACUUCCUCUGGGCCAGGCACCUCAAGGGCUGAAAGGUGAAUGGAGAGGGCUGGGAGGGCAGAACUAUCCAAAAGGCAUUUACAGAAAUGCACACCUCUUGGUGGGAGGGUCACCCACCAACAUCAUUGGCCCAGAGCCAGGAUGGCUUCCAGUCAGUGCUUCUCAAACUCGGCUGUGUCUAACUUCUGCGUCUUAUCCCCACUGGCUCUGAUUUAACUUGUCUGGCACGGACACUGGUCAUCAGAAGAUGUAAAAGCUCCUCCAGCUAUCCAGUGUGUGGCCUCAGGGUUCAAAACCACUGCUUUAUUAGGUAACUGCAUAUCCAUGAGCCUGGGGCCACCAGAAGCAGUUUACCUGCUGAUACCUCAAGGGGAGGCUUCUUCUCAGAGAAAAGCACAUUUGCCAAUCAAUCUCCCAGUCAGAAAGUGGAAAGGGGACUCUAUCUCAUGGUUUAAUUGGAGACAGACAGGUCCAUCCCACCCAGAGCUACAGGUACCAUUGUAUAGGCUGUGCACUGUACAAAGGCAUCUACUAGAAGUAGGGGUGGGGCUGGGUUUGGGCUCUGCUGGCAAAGCCAUGUGUUCUAGCACCAAAGGGGUGAGUGAGUCUUUUUCUGAUUUAUACCAAGACGUCAUAUAGAGAGCUGAGGCCUGUUUCCCUGGUCCAAAAGCCGCAGGGAGGACAGAAUAUGCUCUUCCAGAGGCAGAGGGGGAAAACACAGCUACUCUGAGUCUGAGACGCCUCCUCAGUGGUCAUUGGCACCAGUGUCCCCGACCCCUGCUUAUGGUGCUCUCAGUUCCUGUUGCCAGGCAGCUGAGGCUCCAGCGCCUGAGCAUACUACUCUGUCCAUCCCACUGGUAUGCUGGACCAGCCAGCUGGUCCCAAUAGCCCUGAGAACCAAAUGUUAAAUUUUUAGAAAUUUUUCGAUUUCAACACAGACAUCAUUGAAAUUAAAUUAUGUAAACACAAUUAUAUUAAAAACAAAUAACACAUUCAACAGACAUCACUUUCUCAUUACUUGCUACAUUAUUACCUACAGUCUUAGGAUUAUUUCUAUCAUAUCUGUAUUAACUGAAAAUUGAUUCUUCCUGGGUCUUUGGCUUGUGGGCCUUCAAACUAGAACUACUUCAGCUCUCUUGGGUCCUCAGCUUGCCAACUACAGAUUUGGGGACUUUUCAGCCUCCAUCAUUGUGCGAGCCAAUUCCUUGCUAUAAAGCUUUUGAUAUAAAGAGACAGUCUCUGACUUAUGAUAGUUUGGCUUAUGAUUUUUUGACUUUACGACAGUGUGGAAGCAGUCACGCUUUCAGUAGAAACUGGACUUCAAAUUUUGAACUUUCAUUUUUCCUCGCUGGCUACAUGCCAGAUGAUACCCUCUUGUGAUGCUGGGCAGAGGCUGAGAGCUGCAGCCCCCAGUCAGCCCUGAAAUGAUGACCAAUAACUUACAACAACAGGUAUACGUACAACCAUUCUAGACCCAUACAGCCCAUUCUGUUUUUUUCACUUUUGGUACAGAAUUCAAUAAAUUAUAUGAGAUAUUCAACACUUUAUUAUAAAAUAGGACUUAUGUUCAAUGAUUUUUGCUCAACUACAGGCUAACAUAAGUGUUCUGAGCACAUUCAAUGUAGGCGAGGGUGGCAUGUUCAGUAGGUUAGGUGUAUUAGUAAAUGCUUUUUCAACUUACUAUGCCUUUAUCAGGACAUAAUUCCACUAGAUUGAUAUAUCUUUUUGUUUUGUCUAUGGUUUCCUUUGCUGUGCAAAAGCUUCUAGGUUUGGUUAGGUCCCACUUGUUCAUUUUUGCUUUUAUUUCUAUUGCCUUGGGAGACUGACCUAAAAAAACACUGGUAUGAUUUAUAUCAGAGAAUAUUUUGCCUACAUUCUCUUCUAGGAGUUUUAAGGUGCCAUGUCUUAUAUUUAAGUCUUUAAGCCAUUUUGAGUUUAUUUUUGUGUAUGGGGUGAGGGAGUGUUCUAACUUCACUGAUUUGCAUGUGGCUAUCCAACUUUCCUAAUAUCACUUGCUGAAGAGACUGCCUUUUCUCUCCAUUGUAAAUCUUUGUUGAAGAUUAAGUGACCAUAGAUGUUGAGUUAUUUCUGGGCUCUCUAUUCUGUUCCAUUGACACAUAUGUCUGUUUUUGUGCCAGCACCAUACUGUUUUGAUUACUAUAGCUUUAUAGUAUCAUCGGAAGUUUGGGAGAGUUAUGCCUCCUGCUUUGGGGUAUUUACACCGAGAAAAUCAGCAAAUGCUAUUAAUCGUGAAAUCAAAAUGCAGCCAGUAUUGCUAAGAGAGGCUCUAAAAUGAAGCCUAGAGGCCCAUGAGGAAGUGUGGCUUAAGUAGUCUCAGCCUGGAUGGAAUCCGAUCUUUUGACUCAUAUCAUCCUAACGAAGGCAUCCAGAACACCUGCUAGAAACUUGCGAUAACCUAGAAUAAUUCAUGACAGUCUAUUCCUUAAGGACAAAUACUUCUUUUCUUGUGUCAGAGUACAGCCUUGUGGUUUUUAGCUUUAUAAGCUUGACUCUGUCCCUUCCCUGGAACAUGCUUUGGAAUCUACGUCUCCUGAAUUGCAACACAUAAGACCCUCCCAAAUAAAGCUCUUUGUUCUUGCAGCCUCAAUAUUGAUCACUGUUUGACGUGAUCAGGACUUAAAUUUCUUUCCUGCCAGAGAGCCCAUUGUUAGGCAUUUGCCAGCACAUCUCUGGUCAGCCCCUACCUACAGGUUUGCUCUGUGUGUCCUAGUCACUGUCGCCUCCCUGCUGUGGCCAGAGGAUGCUUGUUCUCCACGAAGCUCUCUUCCCCCCUUCCUCCUGGGCACACCCAGAAUGCUCGACAUUCCCCAGCCUCCUUGCAGUGGCUGGGCCCUGGCCACUGUUCAUGAGCCACAUGAUAGGGCCACUUCUAAGCCUGGCCUGCAAACUCCCUCCCCCAACACUCUCCAGGUUUGUCUCCCUUUUCUGGGGCCAUCAUGGGAGCUCCACGUAGAAGAUGGCAGAGGCCCUGCAGCAGUCUGGGUCCCUAAAUGACUGAGUGAGCCCAGUCCCCACUGUCAACCAGAAACAUCUCAGAUGGUUGUGAGGAGAGCCAUUACAGUUGGCCCUUUUUGUUACUUCAGCUGACGUUCCCCUCAGAUACACUCUCUGCCUGCCCUUCUCUACCUCCUAGGCUUGGAUGCCUCCUUUUGGACCCUAUUUCAGUGUCACUUCCCUGCUUGGAGCCCCAUGGUUAGAGUUUGGCACCUUUAAUCUCU
rnacentral:lncRNA from 1 species